AUGCUGAAUUUGUCAUGGCAGCAAAAAGCCUUUACUAAGCUGCUGGGUUUGCGUUAUCAGAUUCGCUACAGGAAAGGAUCAAACAACCAUGCGGCUGAUGCACUAUCGCGAGCCAAAACUUCUGAAACUCUAACAACCAUUACAUCUUGUCAACCAGCAUGGCUCGAGGAUCUGCUAGCAAGUUACAACACGAAUCCCCAAGCUCUACGCCUCCUUGAGCAGAUAGCCAUCAAGGAGGACACCAAAGGCAGAUUUUCACUACAUCAAGGAGUGAUCAGGUUCCGGGGCCGUAUCUGGCUUGGCGGCUCGACGGGAUUGCAGCAGCGAAUCAUCCACGCCUUCCAUGGCAGUGCUCUGGGUGGCCAUUCAGGAUUUCCGGCAACAUAUUCGCGCAUCAAACGCCUGUUUGCUUGGCCUAAGAUGAAGAGCCAUAUACUGCACUACAUCCAGUGCUAUUCCACUUGCCAGCGCGCCAAACCAGACCGAGCUGCUUCGCCUGGACUACUGAUGCCACUGCCAGUGCCGAGCCAACCAUGGGAACUUAUCACCAUGGAUUUCAUUGAUGGUCUGCCGCAAUCAGGAGCUUUCAAUUGUUUGUGGGUCAUUGUCGAUAAGAGAACAAAAUUUGCCCACUUCUUGCCACUGGCACACCCCUACACAGCUGCUAAAGUGGCCCAACUCUACAUGCAUCAGAUCUACAUAAUCCAUGGUCUCCCCCGAGCUAUUGUCUCUGAUCGGGAUCCAGUCUUCACUAGCCAUUUUUGGCAGGAAUUGUUCAAGUAUGCAGGCACUAAACUUCGGUUGAGCACCGCAAACCAUCCUCAAACUAAUGGCCGAACGGAACGGGUGAAUCAGUGGCGUGGAAACCUUCCUCCGCUGUUUCAGGCACGCUUGCCCGCGGCUUCUGGACACCGUUGGCUCAGUUUUGGUACAAUUCGUCAGUCCAUUCAGCCAUCGGGAUGA
rnacentral:rRNA from 1 species